rnacentral:rRNA from 1 species
ACGGCUCACCUAGGCGACGAUACAUAGCCGACCUGAGAGGGUGAUCGGCCACACUGGGACUGAGACACGGCCCAGACUCCUACGGGAGGCAGCAGUAGGGAAUCUUCGGCAAUGGGGGGAACCCUGACCGAGCAACGCCGCGUGAGUGAAGAAGGUUUUCGGAUCGUAAAGCUCUGUUGUUAAGGAAGAACGAGUGUGAGAAUGGAAAGUUCAUACUGUGACGGUACUUAACCAGAAAGGGACGGCUAACUACGUGCCAGCAGCCGCGGUAAUACGUAGGUCCCGAGCGUUGUCCGGAUUUAUUGGGCGUAAAGCGAGCGCAGGCGGUUAGAUAAGUCUGAAGUUAAAGGCAGUGGCUCAACCAUUGUAGGCUUUGGAAACUGUUUAACUUGAGUGCAGAAGGGGAGAGUGGAAUUCCAUGUGUAGCGGUGAAAUGCGUAGAUAUAUGGAGGAACACCGGUGGCGAAAGCGGCUCUCUGGUCUGUAACUGACGCUGAGGCUCGAAAGCGUGGGGAGCGAACAGGAUUAGAUACCCUGGUAGUCCACGCCGUAAACGAUGAGUGCUAGGUGUUAGGUCCUUUCCGGGACUUAGUGCCGCAGCUAACGCAUUAAGCACUCCGCCUGGGGAGUACGACCGCAAGGUGAAACUCAAAGGAAUUGACGGA